UCAGGAUGAACGCUGGCGGCGUGCCUAAUACAUGCAAGUCGAGCGAACAGAUAAGGAGCUUGCUCCUUUGACGUUAGCGGCGGACGGGUGAGUAACACGUGGGUAACCUACCUAUAAGACUGGAAUAACUCCGGGAAACCGGGGCUAAUGCCGGAUAACAUGUUGAACCGCAUGGUUCUACAGUGAAAGACGGUCUUGCUGUCACUUAUAGAUGGACCCGCGCCGUAUUAGCUAGUUGGUGGGGUAACGGCCUACCAAGGCGACGAUACGUAGCCGACCUGAGAGGGUGAUCGGCCACACUGGAACUGAGACACGGUCCAGACUCCUACGGGAGGCAGCAGUAGGGAAUCUUCCGCAAUGGGCGAAAGCCUGACGGAGCAACGCCGCGUGAGUGAUGAAGGUCUUCGGAUCGUAAAGCUCUGUUGUUAGGGAAGAACAAAUGUGUAAGUAACUGUGCACAUCUUGACGGUACCUAACCAGAAAGCCACGGCUAACUACGUGCCAGCAGCCGCGGUAAUACGUAGGUGGCAAGCGUUAUCCGGAAUUAUUGGGCGUAAAGCGCGCGUAGGCGGUUUUUUAAGUCUGAUGUGAAAGCCCACGGCUCAACCGUGGAGGGUCAUUGGAAACUGGAAAACUUGAGUGCAGAAGAGGAAAGUGGAAUUCCAUGUGUAGCGGUGAAAUGCGCAGAGAUAUGGAGGAACACCAGUGGCGAAGGCGGCUUUCUGGUCUGCAACUGACGCUGAUGUGCGAAAGCGUGGGGAUCAAACAGGAUUAGAUACCCUGGUAGUCCACGCCGUAAACGAUGAGUGCUAAGUGUUAGGGGGUUUCCGCCCCUUAGUGCUGCAGCUAACGCAUUAAGCACUCCGCCUGGGGAGUACGGUCGCAAGACUGAAACUCAAAGGAAUUGACGGGGACCCGCACAAGCGGUGGAGCAUGUGGUUUAAUUCGAAGCAACGCGAAGAACCUUACCAAAUCUUGACAUCCUUUGACAACUCUAGAGAUAGAGCUUUCCUCUUCGGAGGACAAAGUGACAGGUGGUGCAUGGUUGUCGUCAGCUCGUGUCGUGAGAUGUUGGGUUAAGUCCCGCAACGAGCGCAACCCUUGAACUUAGUUGCCAUCAUU
rnacentral:rRNA from 1 species